rnacentral:rRNA from 1 species
AUUGAACGCUGGCGGCAGGCCUAACACAUGCAAGUCGAACGGUAACAGAAAGCAGCUUGCUGCUUUGCUGACGAGUGGCGGACGGGUGAGUAAUGUCUGGGAAACUGCCUGAUGGAGGGGGAUAACUACUGGAAACGGUAGCUAAUACCGCAUAACGUCGCAAGACCAAAGAGGGGGACCUUCGGGCCUCUUGCCAUCGGAUGUGCCCAGAUGGGAUUAGCUAGUAGGUGGGGUAAAGGCUUACCUAGGCGACGAUCCCUAGCUGGUCUGAGAGGAUGACCAGCCACACUGGAACUGAGACACGGUCCAGACUCCUACGGGAGGCAGCAGUGGGGAAUAUUGCACAAUGGGCGAAAGCCUGAUGCAGCAAUGCCGCGUGUAUGAAGAAGGCCUUCGGGUUGUAAAGUACUUUCAGCGGGGAGGAAGGGAGUAGAGUUAAUACCUUUGCUCAUUGACGUUACCCGCAGAAGAAGCACCGGCUAACUCCGUG